GGAGUCGGCCCCCGGCCAGAUUAGAUAUGUGGUGAGGUACGCUUCCCAAGUUCAUGUUCUUAAGGGCUGAGAGGGAUCCCCCAGUGUACUGAGACCGACAGACUCCUACCGGAAGGCAGCAGGAGGAUAUGACAUGGUGAAGCCUGAUCCAGCCAUCCCGCGUGAAGACGACGCCCUAUGGGUGUAAACUUCUUUUGUAUAGGAUAACCUUUCCACGUGUGGAAAGCUGAAGGUACUAUACGAAUAAGCACGGCUAACUCCGUGCCAGCAGCCGCGGUAAUACGGAGGGUGCAAGCGUUAUCCGGAUUUAUUGGGUUUAAAGGGUCCGUAGGCGGACUCGUAAGUCAGUGGUGAAAUCUCAUAGCUUAACUAUGAAACUGCCAUUGAUACUGCGGGUCUUGAGUAAAGUAGAAGUGGCUGGAAUAAGUAGUGUAGCGGUGAAAUGCAUAGAUAUUACUUAGAACACCAAUUGCGAAGGCAGGUCACUAUGUUUUAACUGACGCUGAUGGACGAAAGCGUGGGGAGCGAACAGGAUUAGAUACCCUGGUAGUCCACGCCGUAAACGAUGCUAACUCGUUUUUGGGACUUCGGUUUCAGAGACUAAGCGAAAGUGAUAAGUUAGCCACCUGGGGAGUACGUUCGCAAGAAUGAAACUCAAAGGAAUUGACGGGGGCCCGCACAAGCGGUGGAUUAUGUGGUUUAAUUCGAUGAUACGCGAGGAACCUUACCAAGGCUUAAAUGGGAAUUGAUCGGUUUAGAAAUAGACCUUCCUUCGGGCAAUUUUCAAGGUGCUGCAUGGUUGUCGUCAGCUCGUGCCGUGAGGUGUUAGGUUAAGUCCUGCAACGAGCGCAACCCCUGUCACUAGUUGCUAGCAUUAAGUUGAGGACUCUAGUGAGACUGCCUACGCAAGUAGAGAGGAAGGUGGGGAUGACGUCAAAUCAUCACGGCCCUUACGCCUUGGGCCACACACGUAAUACAAUGGCCAGUACAGAGGGCAGCUACCAGGUGACUGGAUGCGAAUCUCGAAAGCUGGUCUCAGUUCGGAUUGGAGUCUGCAACUCGACUCUAUGAAGCUGGAAUCGCUAGUAAUCGCGCAUCAGCCAUGGCGCGGUGAAUACGUUCCCGGGCCUUGUACACACCGCCCGUCAAGCCAUGGAAGUCUGGGGUACCUGAAGUCGGUGACCGUAAUAGGAGCUGCCUAGGUAACAGAAUGUCU
rnacentral:rRNA from 1 species